GUUCUACAGCAGCUACGCACACACGGUGGUAUCUGUGAGAAGCUCUGUGGACUCAAAGGUUUUCUCCCUGAAAGGCAUAGCCCAGGCCCGCUGAUUCAUCAGAAUCAGGAAGCUGAGCAUCUCUGUGGUCCUGAGCAUCCCAGGAGGCCGACUGUACAGAGACCUCUGGUCCCUGUCCCCAGUCUGCCUCCACAUCCCUGGAAUAGCCCAUCAUGGGCCCUUCACCCUUGGCAGGUGGACACCAUUGAAACUGCCAGGCCAAGAUGGACAUGGUAGAGGAUGCAGAUACUUUGCAGGAGUGAGGGGACAUCAUUAUGCAGCAUGAGAAGGGACACUGAGCUGGUCUGCCAGAGGACAUGGGGCCUGUGCCUGUUGGAAUCUACGGCAACAUUGAUCGCUUUGGGAUUCUGCAGGGUCACCCAGGAGGGAUGACAGAGCUGCCAAGAGCUCUCCUGUACCAGGGAGCAGCUGGUACCAUGGACCGAGCACCCCCCAGGUUCCAAGCCCUGGGCCAGACUGGAACAUGUGGGGCCAGAACCCAGGAGGAUCCUGAGGAGACAGACAGCAGCAAAGAAAAUCAUGCACAAUGGUGAAAAGUGCUCUCCCUGACCCACAGGGACCCAUGGUAGGACCCACAGGAGGGCAGCAGGAUGGAGGGCCCAUGAGCUUCCCCAGGCAACACUGACAGCACCAAAAGCUGGGGAGCAUGGGGUCCUGGAAACUCUCAUCCAGGUCUGCUGGGAACAUCACAUGGCACAGCCACUUUGGCAGCCAGUUGCGUAGUGGCUCACAAAGUUCAAUGGACUUGAACCACAUGUCCCCAAAGCGUCACUGAUAUUGAACCCACUGAUUUGAAAACUGGUGUCCACAUGAAACCUGCAUGCCAUGUUCACUGCUUGAUUCAUUGACACUCACACAUGGAGGCUACGGGAAUGACCUUCAACACGGGAAUGCAGAGAGGAAGGGUGGUCCUGCCUUCAAAUGGCAGAAGAUUCAGUGAGAAAAGGGAAUGAUCUAGUGAUGCCCACAUGAACGUGGGUGGAUCCUAGAUGCGUUUUGCUAAGGGAAAGAAGCCAGGCCCAAUAAGCUACCACAACAGGAUUCCCAUUCCUAGGCCACUCUGGAAAAGGCCAAACCAUAGGGACUGAGAACUGGUCUGGGUGGCCAGAUGCUGACGGAUCAGGGAGAGGCUGGCUGCAUAGGGGCCACCCUGGAGACUUGGAGGAUGAAGGAGUCACUCCAGGAGGGGCUGGAGCAGUGGCCAGGAGAUUCUGCACAUUGGUUUAGAACUCU
rnacentral:sRNA from 1 species